rnacentral:rRNA from 1 species
GUAGGGAAUAUUGGUCAAUGGACGAAAGUCUGAACCAGCCAUUCCGCGUGCAGGAAGAAGAUUCUAUGGAUUGUAAACUGCUUUUAGCAGAGAAGAAACGCCUUCAUUGAUGAGGGUUUGACGGUAUCUGCGGAAUAAGCACCGGCUAACUCCGUGCCAGCAGCCGCGGUAAUACGGGGGGUGCAAGCGUUAUCCGGAAUCACUGGGUUUAAAGGGUGCGUAGGCGGGAAAUUAAGUCAGUGGUGAAAGUCUGUUGCUUAACGAUAGAAUUGCCGUUGAUACUGAUUUUAUUGAAGUGGGUUGAGGUUAGCGGAAUGUGACAUGUAGCGGUGAAAUGCAUAGAUAUGUCAUGGAACACCAAUUGCGAAGGCAGCUAGCUGGGCCUUGAUUGACGCUGAGGCACGAAAGCGUGGGUAGCGAACAGGAUUAGAUACCCGGGUAGUCC